UACGAGUGCCCCAAGCGUUAUCCGGAAUCAUUGGGCGUAAAGGGUGUGUAGGCGGCGUUGUUAGUCUUCUGUCAAAUCUCUCGGCUUAACCGAGAAUCUGCGGAGGAAACGGCAAUGCUCGAGGAUGCGAGAGGUGAAUGGAACUCAUGGAGUAGGGGUGAAAUCCGUUGAUAUCAUGGGGAACACCAAAAGCGAAGGCAAUUCACUGGCGCAUUCCUGACGUUGAAACACGAAAGCGUGGGUAGCGAACGGG
rnacentral:rRNA from 1 species